GUAGGAAAUUUAAGAGCAUAUGGUGGAUGCCUUGGCUGUUUAUGGCGAUGAAAGACGUAGCAUAACUGCGAUAAGCUUCGGGGAGGUGUCGAGCAACCUUUGAUCCGAAGAUUUCUGAAUGGGGAAACCCCACAAGGAAAAACCUUGUGACCUCACAAUUUAUUGUGUGGAGCGCACCCUGGGAAGUGAAACAUCUCAGUACCAGGAGGAAAAGAAACCAAACAGUAUUUCCUAAGUAGCGGCGAGCGAAACGGAAGAAGCCCAAACCUAACCUUUAAUUCAGAUUUGUUAUUUCGCAAGAGAUAGCAGUCUGAGUUAAAGGUUGGGGGUUGUAAGGUGACAACGAAGUUUUAAAACUUGGAGAGUUACAAAAUUGCAUAAUAGUGGAAGUUGCUGGAAAGCAACACCCCAGAGGGUAAUGGUCCCGUACAUUAAAUUAUUGCAAUCUCUUUUGUUGUCAUUCUUGAGUAACUCAGGACACGAGUAGCCUGAGCGAAUCUGCCGGAACUAACCGGUAAGGCUAAAUACAUAAACAGACCGAUAGUGAACAAGUACCGUGAGGGAAAGGUGAAAAGAACCCCGGCGAGGGGAGUGAAAUAGACCUGAAACCAUAUGCUUACAAGGUGUAGGAGCUUCGAUUUAUCGGAGUGACUGCGUGCCUAUUGAAGAAUGAGCCAACGAGUUAAUGCAUGCUGCGUUAAGCUAAGUCCGCGAGGACGGAGCUACAGGGAAACCGAGUGUGAAUAGCGCGUUUGUAGUAUGCAUUAGACCCGAAGCCAGAUGAGCUACCCAUGAGCAGGGUGAAGUUUGUCGAAAGACAGAUGGAGGCCCGAACCGGUUGGAAGUUCAACACCAUCGGAUGACUUGUGGGUUGGAGUGAAAAGCUAAUCGAAUCUGGUAAUAGCUGGUUCUCUCCGAAAUAUGUUUUGGCAUAGCGUCGUAUGAUCCCCUUGGGGGUAGAGCACUGGAAGGAUUGAAUAGGGAGAAAUCUCGUCAAUCCUAUCAAACUCCGAAUACCAAGGAUUACAGUACGGCAGUAAGACCGUGAGGGCUAAGCUUCACUGGUCAAAAGGGAAAGAGCCCAGAUCUCAAGUUAAGGUCCCAAAAUCUACGUUAAGUGCGCUUAAGGAGGUGAAAUUUCAUUGACAAUGAGGAUGUUGGCUUAGAAGCAGCCAUCAUUUAAAGAAAGCGUAACAGCUCACUCAUCAAGAGAUUUCGCACCGCAAAUAAUCGGGGCUAAACGUAGUACCGAAACUGAGGGCUUGUGUGAUUCAUAGAGGAGAUUAUUCCUCUAGUAAGAAGUAAUUUCUUACAUCCGGAGAAGAAACCGGAAGACGGGUAAUGCGUAGUUGCAUUAUCUUCUCUAUGAAUCAUGCAAGCGGUAGGAGAGCAUUCCACUCUGCGAUGAAGGAGAAGGGGAACCGACUCUGGAGCGUGUGGAAGAGAGAAUGUUGGCACAAGUAACCGCAAUGGGGGUUAGAAUCCCCCACGCCGUAAGACUAAGGUUUCCUUCGCGAUGCUAAUCAUCGAAGGGUUAGUCGGCCCUAAGGGGAUGACGAAAGUCGGACCCGAUGGACACAUGGUUAAUAUUCCAUGACUUCCGUAUAGUUUCGAAGAAAUGACGGAGAAUAAAACCUCAAGCGCAUUAUUGGAUUUGCGUGGCUCGUCAGUUAGAGAUGUUUCCGAGGAAAAUCCCGGGGACUUACUUAAAUGUUAAUCUCGAGGUCGGCCAAAUGUUCUGGGGCAACCCAGGAUAGAUUUGAGGGAAGAGUCUUCCAAGAAAAGUUUCUAGAGCCAACUAUAAGGAACCCGUACCGAAAACCGACACAGGUGGUCGAGUCGAGUAGACUAAGGCGAACGAGUGAGAUCUCCCCAAGGAACUAGGCAAAAAAGCAGCCGUAACUUCGGAAUAAGGCUUGCCCUCCCUACUUUUGGUAGAAUUAAAGCAUGUACAUUGUGUACGUCAUUGAGCAUUCAGAUAUGAAACAACUUUAUGUUGGGUAUAUAACUGAUCUCAAACGACGGGUUCGUGAGCAUAAUGCUCGCGGGCACAAAUAUACGACACGUAAUGCUGGACAGUGGAUUCUCAUCUAUGCGGAAGCAUAUCGUGAUGAGUCUGAUGCCCGCGAGCGUGAACGUAAACUGAAACCACGUGGUAGUGCAAUGACUUCUUUACUUAAACGAAUCAAAAAGAGUCGUUUGAGCCAAAAGUAGGGAGGGCCGCAGCGAAAGUAUCUCUGACAACUGUUUAUCAAAAACACAGCUCCCUGCGAACUCGUAAGAGGAUGUAUAGGGGGUGACACCUGACCAAUGCCAGAAGGUUAAAUAACGGCGGUGCAAUGAGUUUACUUGUUGUGCUGACUGUUAUAAGCCCUGGUGAAUGUCGGCCGUAACUAUAACGGUCCUAAGGUAGCGAAAUUCCUUGUCGGGUAAGUUCC
rnacentral:rRNA from 1 species